GCGGAUGGCCGGAUGGCCGCACCCCUCGGGGUGAGGAAAGUCCGGACUCCACGAAGCGACGGUGCCGGGUAACGCCCGGGCGGGGUAACCCGACGGAAAGCGCCACAGAAAACAGACCGCCUGCCCCCCGGGGCAGGUCAGGGUGAAACGGUGGGGUAAGAGCCCACCGCGGGCCGGGUAACCGGGCCGGCACGGCAAGCCCCACCGGGAGCAAUGCCGAAUAGGGAUUCCGCGGAUGCGGCCCCCUUGCGGGGCGGUCCAGGGCUUUGCUUCGGCCCAGGAAUCCGGGUUGGCAGCAGGAUCCCGUCCGCAAGGGCGGGACCAGAUGAAUGGUCAUCCAUGGGCGCCUUUGGGCGCUCGGGACAGAAUCCGGCUUACAGGCCAUCCGCGCAA
rnacentral:RNase_P_RNA from 1 species